UGAAAACAUGUGUUCAAAAACUGUGUAGGU
rnacentral:piRNA from 1 species